GACGAACGCUGGCGGCGUGCCUAACACAUGCAAGUCAACUUGACUGAAGGAGCAAUCUGACAGUAGAGUGGCGCAAGGGUGCGUAACGCGUAAGUAACUUGCCCAAGGUAAGGAAUAACGUCGAGAAAUCGGCGCUAAUACCUCAUAAUGCAGCGGAUCCGCAUGGAUAUGUUGUUAAAGGUUUACCGCCUUGGGAUAGGCUUGCGUCUGAUUAGCUAGUUGGUGUGGUAACGGCACACCAAGGCUACGAUCAGUAACUGGUCUGAGAGGAUGAUCAGUCACACUGGAACUGAGACACGGUCCAGACUCCUACGGGAGGCAGCAGUGAGGAAUAUUGGGCAAUGCUCGAAAGAGUGACCCAGCAACGCCGCGUGGAGGAUGAAGGUAUUCUAUAUCGUAAACUCCUGUGAGAGCAGACGAAAGACAGAUUAUAAUCUGGAUGACUGUAUGCUCAGAGG
rnacentral:rRNA from 1 species